GCCCCCGUUGUGUAGCGGCCUAGCACGUCGCCCUCUCAAGGCGGUAGCGCCGGUUCGAAUCCGGUCGGGGGUACCA
rnacentral:tRNA from 1 species